AGGUGAGCCUUGAAUGUAAUUAGGCUUUUUCCUGGUAAAAGAUUAGACGCAUGCAAAGGAUUUAUUAGGGGCAAGAUUCUCCUCUGCUAGCUGUUGAGAUGAAGUGGGGCAGUGGCAAGGAAACUGGGCAGCCUUUAGAAGCUGAGAGUAACCCCUGACUGACUGAUAGCAAAGAAAGAGGAGAAAUUAAAUUCUGCCCAGUGAGCUUGGAAGAGAACCCUGAGCUCCAUGUGAAAACAGAGCAGCAGCUAACACCCUGACUCUAGCUUUGUGGGAACCUAAACAGAGAAGCUAGUCAAAGCUAUGGUUUUUCCAGUAGAAUUGAUGCUUUUGAACUUUGGUGUUGGAGAAGACUCUUGAGGGUCCCUUGGACUGCAAGGAGAUCCAAUCAAUCCAUCCUAAAGGAAAUCAGUCCUGAAUAUUCAUUGGAAGGACUGAUGCUGAAGCUGAAACUCCAAUACUUUGGCCACCUGAUGAGAAGAACUGACUCACUGGAAAAAACCCUGAUGCCGGGAACGAUUGAAGGCAAGAGGAGAAGGGGACAACAGAGGAUGAGACGGUUGGAUGGCAUCACUGACUCAAUGGACAUGAGUUUGAGCCAUCUCCAGGAGUUGGUGACGGACAGGGAAGCCUAGCGUGCUGCAGUCCAUGGGGUCACAAAGAGUCGGACACUGAACUGAACUGACUGAAACAGAACCAGCCACGCUUUGUCAAGCUGCUAACUUUGUGGUAAUUUGUUAUACAGCCAUAGAAAAUGAAUACAGGUGGUCAUUUGAAAGAGAGAGACUGCCUGGACAAAGGCGCAGAGGUGUAGAGCAGCAAAAGUUAAAAUGCCCUCGAGCUACAGCCAUUGGAUUUGCUGGACAGCGGCAUCAUUCUGAUAUUAUCGGCUCUGUCUUCCUGUUUUCAUGAAUAAUGUAUAAGAAGGAGCUAUCGGCAAUGGAUUCUUCCAUGGCUGAACGUGUUGCCACCAGACAGGUCCCUGAAUUCUCUGUCAUUUCGUCUGCAGCGCUCACGGACCUCCUCCCUUUCCCCCGGCUACCUUCUGGCUGCUUCAUAUGCAAGGAGACCCUUCCAAAGACACCCUCUCCCUUGACAUUUUUAAAAACAAGAUGGAAGAGUGGAAUAGCCAUCAUCAUUCCUGGAAUAUAACAAUGCUUUCUUCUGCCGGUGUCAGGAGGGGCGCUCCAUCCAGCAGCUGGGCGAUAAUACCCGUUAAGGGUGCCAAGGACUGGACCUUGAUGACUGUCCGUUUGUCAUUUGCGCCCAAGGCAAGAUGCUGGGAAGAAGGGCGCCUUCCUGUCAGCAUCUAUUACUCUGGAGUGAACAGUCUUUGUACCAUUCACUUUCAAAAAUCUAGACCCACCCCCUCCCACCUCCUUGGAUGCUCACAGUUGCUUCAUCUCUCCUGUGGGUUCACUUCCAAGGAGCUUCUUCCCCUGGACUCAGCCCUCAAGCAUUCUAAUUGAAAAUACCACCACCACCGCCCCCCACCCCAGGCCUAAAGCCUGGCUCCACUACCUGCUGCUUUGUCCCUAAAGUAGAGGCUUACGAUUAAACCACAGAAAAAGCACCGGCCCGAGUGAGCAAGAAAACAGCAGGAGCCCAAGGACUCCUGUGAACAAAGAGUCUGAUUGUUUUCAUGCAAAUUGUUUUUAGUAGGAGGGAGAUAACAGGCAAAUGAAAUAUGGGAGAUAGGCAGAGAUUUUUUUUUUUUUCUAAAGCAGUGGAAGGGGCUGGUAGUUCUUUAAUAAAACCACAGCACAUCUUAUUACAGGGAAACAUCCAGCUCCCACAUUUUUUAUUGAAUGAAAGAGAAUUUCUGCUCUCCACUCUGGCUCCUCUUCCUCCCCUUCCAGUCCAGUGCAAUUAUGUCUCUUUCUGCUUUCCUGACAGUUCAUCUUAGCCUUGUCUGAAAUAGUCUGUUUUGGAAUGUUACUGCUACCUAAUAAUGAAAAGUGUAUCACCAGAGAGUGAUUUUAAGUGAUAGGGAGAAUAAGCAACAUUAAUUCUACUAGUUGUCUGUUUAUUAUUAACAUACUUAAGAAAUACUGUGUCUAGCACAUCCAAUCCAUGAUUUUAUUACAGGUAAUGGCAGCCCUGGUUUUAAAAAGUGAAUUAAUAUAGAGCCAAUAAAGAGAAAAGUAUUAAAU
ensembl:lncRNA